rnacentral:rRNA from 1 species
UACAGAGGUCUCAAGCGUUGUUCGGAUUCAUUGGGCGUAAAGGGUGCGUAGGCGGCGCGGUAAGUCGGGUGUGAAAUCUUGGAGCUUAACUCCGAAACUGCAUUCGAUACUGCCGUGCUUGAGGACUGGAGAGGAGACUGGAAUUUACGGUGUAGCGGUGAAAUGCGUAGAUAUCGUAAGGAAGACCAGUGGCGAAGGCGGGUCUCUGGAACGGUACUGACGCUGAGACGCGAAAGCGUGGGGAGCAAACAGG